AUGGCACAGCACCCCGAGGUGCCCCAUGGCACGGUGCAGGACCCCCAAGUGCUCGUUCCCACCAUGGCCCAGCACCACGAGGUGCCCCACAGCACGACCACCAAGUGCUCGUCCCCAUCACGGCACACCACCCCGAGGUGCCCCACGGCACAGCACAGCACCCCCAAGCACUUGUCCUCACCACGGCACAGCACCCAGAGGUGCCCCACAGCACGGAGCAGCACCCCUAAGUGCUCGUCCCCACCACGACACACCAACCCGAGGUGCCCCAAGGCGCAGCGCAGCACCCCCAAGUGUUUGUCCCCACCAUGGCACAGCACCCCGAGGUGCCCCAUGGCACGGUGCAGGACCCCCAAGUGCUCGUUCCCACCAUGGCCCAGCACCACGAGGUGCCCCACAGCACGACCACCAAGUGCUCGUCCCCAUCACGGCACACCACCCCGAGGUGCCCCACGGCACAGCACAGCACCCCCAAGCACUUGUCCUCACCACGGCACAGCACCCAGAGGUGCCCCACAGCACGGAGCAGCACCCCUAAGUGCUCGUCCCCACCACGACACACCAACCCGAGGUGCCCCAAGGCGCAGCGCAGCACCCCCAAGUGUUUGUCCCCACCAUGGCACAGCACCCCGAGGUGCCCCAUGGCACGGUGCAGGACCCCCAAGUGCUCGUCCCCAUCACGGCACACCACCCCGAGGUGCCCCACGGCACGGAGCAGCACCCCCAAGUGCUCUUCCCCACCACGACACACCAACCCGAGGUGCCCCACGACGCAGCGCAGCACCCCCAAGUGUUUGUCCCCACCACGGCACAGCACUCCAGGAUGCCCCACGGCACGACGCAGCACCCCCAAAUAUUCAUCCCCACCACAGCACAGCACCCCAGGGUGCCCCACGGCAUGGCCCAGCAUCCCCAAGUGCUCUUCCCCACCACGACACAGCAGCCCGAGGUGCCCCAUGGCAUGGCGCAGCACCACCAAAUGCUCGUCCCCACCACGGCAUAGCACCCCGAGGUGCCCCACAGCACAGGACCCCCAAGUACUCAUUCCCCACCACGGCACAGCACCCCAAGGUGCCCCACGGCAUGGAGCAGGAUCCCCAAAUGCUUGUCCCCACCUCGGCACAGCACCCUGAGGUGCCCCACGGCAUGGCGCAGCACCCCCAAAUGUUUGUCCCCGGCAUAGCACAGCACCCCAGGGUGCCCCACGGCACAGCGCAGCACCCUACCCCUAUGGACCCCACAUCGCACCGCUCCUGCCCUGGGUGCCAGGGAUGCAGGGGGCAGUGGGGCAGGGGGGGCCCCCUCCGCCCCGGCACAGCCCGGCAUAGCACAGCACCCCAGGGUGCCCCACGGCACAGCGCAGCACCCUACCCCUAUGGACCCCACAUCGCACCGCUCCUGCCCUGGGUGCCAGGGAUGCAGGGGGCAGUGGGGCAGGAGGGUCCCCCUCCGCCCCGGCACAGCCGCCUGGCCCAACGCACCUGGGCUCCCGGGCGCGCACCUCCGCUCCCUGGGGGCCACGGCACCGUCAAUGGACUCAGUGUC
rnacentral:lncRNA from 1 species